AUUGAACGCUGGCGGCAGGCCUAACACAUGCAAGUCGAACGGUAACAGGGAUCAGCUUGCUGCUUCGCUGACGAGUGGCGGACGGGUGAGUAAUGUCUGGGAAACUGCCUGAUGGAGGGGGAUAACUACUGGAAACGGUAGCUAAUACCGCAUAACGUCGCAAGACCAAAGAGGGGGACCUUCGGGCCUCUUGCCAUCGGAUGUGCCCAGAUGGGAUUAGCUAGUAGGUGGGGUAACGGCUCACCUAGGCGACGAUCCCUAGCUGGUCUGAGAGGAUGACCAGCCACACUGGAACUGAGACACGGUCCAGACUCCUAUGGGAGGCAGCAGUGGGGAAUAUUGCACAAUGGGCGCAAGCCUGAUGCAGCCAUGCCGCGUGUAUGAAGAAGGCCUUCGGGUUGUAAAGUACUUUCAGCGGGGAGGAAGGGAGUAAAGUUAAUACCUUUGCUCAUUGACGUUACCCGAAGAAGAAGCACCGGCUAACUCCGUG
rnacentral:rRNA from 1 species